rnacentral:sRNA from 1 species
ACUCAUUUACAUUUAGGUAGCUACUAGCCAGGUAGCCAGCCCGCCAGCCAGCUAAGCGAUCGUGUUGUAUAGUCGUCGGUUCGGUUAAAUGCGGUUAUUUUGUCGUUGUCGUCGCAGCAGUUGUUGUUAUUAUUCUUGUUGCUGCAUUGCCAUUGCCCAGUGCUAGUGCCUUCGUUCUGCGUGCGUGUGAGUGUGCGAGUGUGUGUUAUUGUGUUUUCAUAAUUUUUUACGAUUUGAAAAAAAGUAACAUUUUCAAAAUUCAGAUUCAUCUGAGCCGUUCGCCUGUCAAGUUGAUCGUUACGCGCAAUUCCGUAAAUAGUCGGGUGGUGAUCGUUAAACAAACGAAGCAAAGAAAACCGUUAUACUUGUGUUUUUUCAAAAGAAAAAUAAAAGAACGAAGUGUUGAAAAAAUUUUUGAGUUUUGAAGGAAAAAUAUUCCUCAUCCAUAAAAAAAAAACAAACAAAAGAAUUAAAGUGGAAGAGUGGUCUGUUGUUGCUGCUGCUGCUGCGUUUAAAUUGAAUUCAUAAAAAAUUUCAUUCAACGUCGUAAUGUAAACAGUUGGGAGAUUGAAAUUUUGACAACUUAAAGUGAUCAGCGAGACCAAAGA